GGAUUGUAGUCUGCAACCCGACUACAUGAAGCUGGAAUCGCUAGUAAUCGCGGAUCAGAAUGCCGCGGUGAAUACGUUCCCGGGUCUUGUACACACCGCCUGUCACACCAUGGGAGUCGGAAAUGCCCGAAGUCAGUGACCCAACCGUAAGGAGGGAGCUGCCGAAGGUGGAGCCGGUAACUGGGGUGAAGUCGUAACAAGGUAAC
rnacentral:rRNA from 1 species